GCUGGGGGCUCCUGGGCGCUCUCCCUGAGGGCGGCUGGUUGGCCCUCGGGAGCUAUUUCCUUCAGAAAUAGCAUGGGAUCAUGCUCGGGAGAGAAGAUCCGAGCCCUGGGACGCCGCCUCCGCUCCUCCAGGCGCCCCUCUUCACUGUCUCUUCUGUGUGCCUUCUGCUUCUCCUGCCUCCAACCAGGUCUGGUUUCAAAACCGCAGGGCCAAAUGGCGCAAGCGGGAGAAGCGCUGGGGCGGCAGCAGCGUGAUGGCCGAGUACGGGCUGUACGGGGCCAUGGUGCGCCACUGCAUCCCGCUGCCAGACUCCGUGCUCAACUCCGCCGAGGGCGGCCUGCUGGGCUCCUGCGCGCCCUGGCUCCUGGGGAUGCAUAAAAAAUCCAUGGGGAUGAUAAGGAAGCCAGGAAGUGAAGAUAAGUUGGCAGGACUCUGGGGCUCUGACCACUUCAAAGAAGGUUCUAGCCAGAGUGAGUCAGGAUCACAGAGAGGCUCAGAUAAAGUGAGCCCUGAGAAUGGCUUGGAAGAUGUGGCUAUUGACCUCUCCAGCUCUGCCCGGCAGGAGACCAAGAAAGUGCACCCUGGGGCUGGUGCUCAAGGAGGCUCCAACUCCACGGCACUGGAGGGGCCCCAGCCAGGGAAGGUGGGAGCCACAUGAGACCCACAGGUCCCACUGUCAAAGGCUGAAAAUGUGCAUAUUCCUCACUGGCAUUUUCCAAAAGACAAAAAUUGUCCAAGACAUAUACUCUCAGUUUGAUUUUCUUCUGACAAUGUCAAGAUAAAAUGCAAUGCCACUUGCUUUAAGAGGACAGAUGAGUGACCUAGGGAAAAUUCUAUUUCAUUCUAGAAUGGAAACGGUUCCUUAAUGGCACUUUAACCAGUUAACUUGGUGCAAAACUUUUGAUUCUCUUUUGUAGCUUGAGCAGGGAGGAUCCGAAGUUCAAAAAUGAUUUCACUGCUGGGCAUCAUUUGAGAUGUGUGGUUCAAUGUACUGUAUAGAUGAAUAGGUUAGGUCUGAUGUCCUCAUUCUCAAUUAGGAAAUAUAAAAUUGUUUAAUAUCCAGAAGAAUCUGAUAUCAUCAUAGUGAAGACUCCAUACAGACACAUGAAUGAAUUAUAUUGUCUUUACCUUGAACUUGGCCUUGGAUAUUUCAAUUUUCUUGUUAGGGAGUAAUUUUGUGUUUUCUUGAGUGUCACUUGAUAGGCUAUGCAUAUUGGAAUUCAAAGAAACCCAUACUCUAGUCGUUUCUGCAUUUCCUUUAAAAAUAGCAUGGGAUCAUAUUUAAACAAUUGUUGGAUAGCUGGAAACAGUGUUUUUAGGUCAGACCAGGCUUUUGGUCUUUCAAAAUUUGUGAUUGAAAGCACUUUAGUGACUUGGAUUUUGUAAAUCUUUCCUUUCCUGCGUUUCCUUUGCCAUUUAUUUAUUCUUUAAAAAUAAACAUUUUGUGGUGUGUUUACUUUUCAAGGCACUCCUCUAUUACACACUUGUACAUCUCCACUAUCUCUGAUCCCAGCCAGGCUCUCCCUUCACCCCUUCUCAAUCUGGGGACAUGUGACAUGUUUUAUUCUUCAGGCUGCAGCUCUUACCAUGUGUUGCCUUGUCAACUCCUCUGGGGCAGCAGCUGUGUCUGAUACACUCUUUGGAGUUCAGAGGCCAGAAAGAUACCUUCUAGUUGAUGGGAAAAUAUGGUGCUUCCUGAAGAAGGAAGGGCAGUACAAGGAAAGUGUGGAACUGCUCAUUGUGAGGGCUUUCUCUGGGAACUGGCCCAGUGAUCUGUCAGGCUAGGCUUGGUGCUCCCAUCUCUGCAGGUGAGAAAACAGAAGCUCUCUCCCUUUGGCCUAUUUUUCUCAUCCUAUGUUAGUUCCAUACUCUUGGGAAAAUUAAACAUCACCAGUUCCUUUCUGUAGCAACAGAAAAUGAUAAGCCCUAUGUUCUUGUAUUAAUUCUGGCUAACAGAUAUCAUAACUGAGGCCUGAGACUGCACCCAUAAUGAGCAGUUGGCAUGAACUCUAGAAGUUCUUCUGUCUUUCCUGUUUAGAGACAGCAGCCCUGGCUCCAGGCUCUGUAGCCACACAGGUUCUGCCUCCCAGAGGGUUGGUUCUCAACACAUUUCCUCAUGUUUACUCCUCGGUUGUUGCUUCCAUCCCUCUUCCUUAGCUUAUCCAGGAUUGAGUUUGGGAGAGGGAACCAGUAAGCUGUGCAACUUACAUACAUCACACUUAGACAAUACGGGCAGCCACUAAAAUUGUAACAGUAAGGCUUAUUUAUUAAUGUGGAAUGAUGCUGACAAAAUUUUGCUGAGUAAAAAAAAUCCCUAAAAAAGAAAAAAGAUAGAAAUAAAUAUGUAAAGCAGAAUGAAAAUGAAAUGAAUAACCUUAACAACUGGUUCUGCAUACAAAAUAUACAAGUAGUGGACAAAUCUCUAUGUAAUAUUACAAAGGAAAAGGAGAAAAUAGGAAGUGGCACGAGAGAAAGGGGCUAGAAGCACUGAAGUAAAAAUGGAAGGAUGCUUUCUUAACAUAAGGAACUCUCUUCAAUAUGGCAGGUUAAUAUUUUAUAAUGUAUACAUACAUACACGUGUUUAUAUGUACAUAUAUAAGAGCAGAGUCUUUGAGGCGGCUUUGCCAACUCUAGCCAUGUGACCUUGGAUGAGUUUCACUACCUUUCUGAUCUCUUGGUUUUUCAACUGUAAAAUGGGGAUGACAGCAGAACACUCAUUUUUCUGAAGAUUAAAUGAGAUGACAUGAGUAAUAUACUUGGCUCAGUUUCUGAGGAAGGAGCAAAUUAAAUAUUAACUAUUAUUACUGUAAUUAUUGGCAUUUCUAUUAAUAUCAAAAAUCAAACGAGAAAGUUUAUCAUUAUCAUUUUUUGACAAUAUGGGACAAACAAAAUAAAUCAUGGAAUAAUAGCUUGUUGGAAUGGUCUGCAACAACAACUCAAGAAGAACUCUACGAACACAGCAAAACGUCGCCCUAAGAGCAGGGCUCGGUGUGUCAUUGGGCUGCUCUCUCCCUGGCUGUGCAAGGACCAGGAGCUCAACUGGCCACGCCCCACAGAGGACCACCGCUGUCCUGUGUGACUAGAGUCUGGAGACGAGGACUUUGAGCCGCUCACGAACAUCAUCAGGAAUCCAGGACUCAAGCUUGUCCCUGCAAGGUCACUGGAGGUUCCUGAAGUUCAGACAUCACAGUGGAGAUUACCUAUGGCCACAUUUCAUCAAGGAGUAAACCCCCACCUGCUAGCAGACCGUCUCUCACUCCUCAUUGGUCAGCACUGCAUGUCACGCUCAGGCCUAAGCCAAUCAUCACCAGCCAGAGGGUGAGACAUUGGGCUGCAGAGAAAUGAAGUGAACCUGCUAAGCCGAUUGUCAAAUGGAUGAGAAACUCAGAGCCAAGGAUCGGGAAAACACCCUUAAAGAACGAGGUGAUGGCUGAGUCUGUCCCAGCUCAGUGCUUUGAUAAGACUGUGAUCAUCACAGCAGGACAGUAUCGGCCUGGGGGGACAAAUGGACCCAUGCAGCAGGAAUAGGAGCAGGCAGCACACACACGUGUGGACAGAAAGUGGGUGCGGCUGACACUGGGGGAGGGCUGGCUUUUUGGUAAGUUACUGGGACAACUGUCCAUAUGGGAAAACAUACAAUUGGACCUGUACCUCACACCUUACAGGAAAACACUUCCAGGUGGAUUAAAGACAUGGUGUAUGUGUGGGAUGUGUGAAAGGCAAAACUAUAAAGCUUUCAGAUGUUUUGGUUUAGAAGAUCCUUCAAUUACCCCCAAACUGUGGCUUAAAACAACCAUUUUAAGGUCACAAUUGUGUGCAUCUGUUUCAGCUAAGUUCACUAAGCCACAGUCUCUCGCUCUCUCUCAGUCCCACCUUUCCCUCUCUCUUUCUAUCUACAUAUAUGCAAGAGUUGUUGUGAAAUACUCUCCCUGUUUUCCAGUGCAAACUUCUGCUCCUGGAGGCUCCCGUUCACUGGACUUUGCAGGAGACACACAGGCUCCCCAGACCCCGUGGUGGUGCCUGAUGACCUUCAGCUGAACCCUGUAAUGCUGCUAAAGUCUGCCCCUCUGGAGAAGUGCUCAGGUAGCAUUGUUCUGCCUCAGGAAGCAUGCCGAUUUUCCUGUGUCAUCCUUGAUGAUCACUGCUACCAGACUUGCCCCCUGCAGGGCACCCCAUGUGCAAGGAAUUCAACAACCUAGGAGUUGAAAGCAUUGGUCUCCCAAGUUCAGUGUGUUCUUUUCCGUAUCUAUUACCAGCUGAUGAGAAUAAACCUGCAGUCAUGACAGCUAGGUCCUAGUGACAGGUGCAGAAAGCUGCUCUUACAGAAACUCCCCUCCUUAUUAAGAGGCUUUGUCUAUCACUCGGAACUGCUUCUACUCAAGAUUAUCUGUUGAAAGGGAACUGUCCAUACCAGGGCAUUGUUCUGACUUUUCUGGACUUCCUCAACCCAAAAUGCCUUGAAGAAAAAAAAAAAAGACCCUGAGUGUUAGGGCAGGGUCUCACUCUGUCUCCAGGCUGGAGUGCAGUGGCACAAUCAUAGCUCACCGCAACCUCUAACUCCUGGGCUGAAGUGAUCCUCCCACCUCAGUCUCCUAUGUUGCUAGGAUUACAGCGUGAGCCACUGCCCCAGCUACUCCAACUUAAGAGUUCCCCCAAGGCUGGCUGCCCUUCUCCUCUCCUUCCAUCAUGAAUGACACAUGGGCAUCCCCUUCGGCUAGCAUGGCUGACCUGUGCCUGCCUGGGUGCUCAGCUUGGCACCCAUGUGAGUUUGCAGCCUGAAAUUUUAAAUGGAGGAGUUUCUGUGCUUUUCUGCCCUGAUUCCUCUUACUGACCCUCUAAGUCACCAGCUGUGGUCGUCUCCUCUUUGACCCCUGAUCUCAACCCGGGCUUUGAAAUGUGUUUGUUCACAUAAUUGUCCAUUACCCAUCCUUCCUGUCAUUGCAGAAUCUGUUGUCUCAUACUGACAUUUUAAGACUUUUUUUCACUUUCUUCUGUUGAAGAUCACCUACUAAGAAGUACUUCCUCCUUUUCAUUCUUUCUUUAUAAGAAUUAAUUAAAUUUUAAUUGACAAAAAUUGCA